AUACACUUGCACCUACGUACAUAGAAUUGAAAGAACAUUAAAUGACAAAAUUUGAGACUUCAGACUUGAUCUACUUUACAAAAGCACAAUUAAUAUAUUGAAUAUGUAAAGAUGCGCAAGAGAAUCUUUUAGUUCCACCCUUAACGAACAAUGCAUGAUCCGAAAUAAUCAGGACUUCAACGCGAGCACCAAAUAUUGAAUGAAAAAACUAUAAAAUGAAAAAAGAAAGAUUAUGCCUUGCUCGAAACUCACAUUGAAAAUAAUAGACAUACAAAAUAUGCAAUAGAUCAAUAAUAAUAUCAAAUGAAAAUCCAUUCAAUCAGCUAACUAAUACAUGUUCUUUAAUUGCCAAUAUUUUUCUCCUGCCUAUUAUUAAUCCAUCCUUUUCCAAACACCAAAUCUUAAAUCGAUAUUCUCUAUAAAAAGAAUAUUGAUCCAAAAAAUGCCAAAAGGUAUCGUCCUACAUUAUACAUAUUUACAUUGUUUCUUUCUAUAUCGGGAUCUGGUAAUGACAUAUCCUCAAACUUCUCAUUUAUCAAGCGCAAACAUAUAAUGUAGGACCUACUGAGUUGCUCCUGAAGAAUAAUAUAAGCAAUUCCAUUAGAUAUCACUAUAUUUCAAUAUAAAUAUAGUAAUUGUCGAUAGGUAACUUGUUAAUCAAUUUCCAUGAUUCUCUUGGUUGAAAUAAUUGAAUAGUAUAGUCGUCUUCUAAUAGUGAAACUCAUGAAGGUCAU
rnacentral:lncRNA from 1 species